UGGUGCUGGAGGAGACUCUUGAGAGUCCCAUGGACUGCAAGAAGAUCAAACCUAUCCAUUCUUAAGGAAAUCAGCCCUGAGUGCUCACUGGAAGGACAGAUCCUGAAGCUGAGGCUCCAAUACUUUGGCCACCUCCUGAGAAGAGAAGACUCCCUGGAAAAGACCCUGAUGUUGGGAAAGAUGGAGGGCACAAGGAGAAGGGGACGACAGAGGACGAGAUGGCUGGAUAGUGUUCGCGAAGCUACCAGCAUGAGUUUGACCAAACUGUGGGAGGCAGUGGAAGACAGGAGUGCCUGGCGUGCUCUGGUCCAUGGG